AUUGAACGCUGGCGGCGGGCUUAACACAUGCAAGUCGAGCGGGGUGAUGGUGCUUGCACUAUCACUUAGCGGCGGACGGGUGAGUAAUGCUUAGGAAUCUGCCUAUUAGUGGGGGACAACAUCUCGAAAGGGAUGCUAAUACCGCAUACGUCCUACGGGAGAAAGCAGGGGAUCACUGGUGACAUUGCGCUAAUAGAUGAGCCUAAGUCGGAUUAGCUAGUUGGUGGGGUAAAGGCCUACCAAGGCGACGAUCUGUAGCGGGUCUGAGAGGAUGAUCCGCCACACUGGGACUGAGACACGGCCCAGACUCCUACGGGAGGCAGCAGUGGGGAAUAUUGGACAAUGGGGGGAACCCUGAUCCAGCCAUGCCGCGUGUGUGAAGAAGGCCUUAUGGUUGUAAAGCACUUUAAGCGAGGAGGAGGCUCUUUUGGUUAAUACCCAAGAUGAGUGGACGUUACUCGCAGAAUAAGCACCGGCUAACUCUGUGCCAGCAGCCGCCGUAA
rnacentral:rRNA from 1 species